AAGAACUACUGACACUAUCCACAGUUUAGUAAACUAAGGCAACAAAAUUUAAGUAUCUUUGCCAAAGUCACACACACUAGUGAGCGAUGGAGCUAGGAUUCAAACCUGGCAGCCUGACUCCAAAGCUUGCACCUGUACACCACUGUGCAGCACCUUAAACCUUAAUUGGAAAUUGAGAAAAUCAAUAACUCUGUAGGAGAGUGUGUUCACUGAGUUUCAGAUUGCUCUGGGACUAUUUUGAUGGCAAUGAGCUAAGGUUCUGAGACAGGUCAUCGUGGGUCUCUGGGAUUUAUGCUGCAGACAUGGAGAGGCAGUUCAGCUCUCCCUGUAAAGCUUCUUACUCAGCAGCUGUGUGCUCCAGCACAGCAGCUUCUCACUACUCCUCAUGACCACCACCCCCACGUUGAACCUGGGUAAAGUCCUAUCUGCUUUGUGUGGUGAAAUGCAAAAUAAUGGAACAGACUGCUUGCUCCAUGAAUGGGGAGAGCUUGGUUCCUCAGUGGUCUGACAGCAGGUUCUGCCGUGUGCUUCAGACCGGGGUCAUUGCUUAUUGCCUGCGUGUUUGAUUCUGAAUUCCAGUCUCGAGUUCUACCUCCUGUCCAGUCUUCAGCUGAUCCAGGUCUUGGACAAUCCUUCAUUCUGCCUUCACUCCAUUCUCCAUAGCCAAUCCCCAGAAUGACAUGCAAUUUGACAAAAGAAAAAUACAUUCUGGAAUAUGUUGUUAUGCCCAAAGCAUUCCAUCAGAAAAUUUCCUCAGUUCUCAUAGACUAUUGAGCAUGAACUGUUUCCAGAUACUAUCAAAGAGUGCAUUUUUGUGAAGAGCUAUGCAAAGGCAAGCACAUCAUGAUUUGUACGGUUUGUCAUAUUUAACUUUGCUUUUAUCUGAGUAUCAGAGUUCCUGAAGAAUCUGUGUUGGCUCAACCAAGAUACUUUUCAUACUUAGCUAUUUUGGGGUGCACAAACAUACCGAGAAUUUGAACAAUUAAACAUUCUACAGUCCUGGGCCAAAGCAAAAUUUUCCUCUCUUUCUAAUUCCACUGGGCUUUCAAGUUGCUGACAGGGAUCCUUAUUACCAGCAGACUGCCUCUCUAUUGGCAGUAUUUUUGUUAUUGUUUUUAUUUAUGCACACCUCUUGGGCAAAGGCCACCCUUCUCUCUGCAAGACUCCAGUAAACCUUUGCCUCUUCAUUAGCAUUUGAAUCUCUGAGCUCCUAUAACAAGGUCUUUGCUAGCCUCACACCAGUCUGAGUCCCUCAGAACAGAAUUUUUCACAGGCCUGCUUGCUUCUGCCUUUCAUUAUUCUCAGAUCUUUUCGGUGUUUUUGUUUAGUUUGGUUUUGUUUGCUCUUGAAUACCAAGAGUCCAUCUUUGGUAGCAUACUAAAUAUAUUGAAGCUUUAGAAGUAUUCAGUGGGGGACAUUAAUGAAAAGUUAAAAAAAAAAAAAAA
rnacentral:lncRNA from 1 species